GUAUACCGUACCCUGUUGCUUCGGCGGGCCCGCCUCACGGCCGCCGGGGGACCUCGCGUCCCCGGGCCCGCGCCCGCCGAAGACCCCAACACGAACACUGUCUGAAAAGUGCAGUCUGAGUCGAUUGUUACCAAUCAGUCAAAACUUUCAACAAUGGAUCUCUUGGUUCCGGCAUCGAUGAAGAACGCAGCGAAAUGCGAUAACUAAUGUGAAUUGCAGAAUUCAGUGAAUCAUCGAGUCUUUGAACGCACAUUGCGCCCCCUGGUAUUCCGGGGGGCAUGCCUGUCCGAGCGUCAUUGCUGCCCUCAAGCACGGCUUGUGUGUUGGGCCCCGUCCCCGGUACCCCCGGGGACGGGCCCGAAAGGCAGCGGCGGCACCGCGUCCGGUCCUCGAGCGUAUGGGGCUUUGUCACCCGCUCUGCAGGCCCGGCCGGCGCCAGCCGACCAACCCAACCAUUUUUUACAGGUGACCUCG
rnacentral:misc_RNA from 1 species